rnacentral:rRNA from 1 species
GAUGAACGCUGGCGGCGUGCCUAAUACAUGCAAGUCGAGCGAACGGACGAGAAGCUUGCUUUUCUGAUGUUAGCGGCGGACGGGUGAGUAACACGUGGAUAACCUACCUAUAAGACUGGGAUAACUUCGGGAAACCGGGGCUAAUACCGGAUAAUAUUUUGAACCGCAUGGUUCAUAAGUGAAAGACGGUCUUGCUGUCACUUAUAGAUGGAUCCGCGCUGCAUUAGCUAGUUGGUAAGGUAACGGCUUACCAAGGCAACGAUGCAUAGCCGACCUGAGAGGGUGAUCGGCCACACUGGAACUGAGACACGGUCCAGACUCCUACGGGAGGCAGCAGUAGGGAAUCUUCCGCAAUGGGCGAAAGCCUGACGGAGCAACGCCGCGUGAGUGAUGAAGGUCUUCGGAUCGUAAAACUCUGUUAUUAGGGAAGAACAUAUGUGUAAGUAACUGUGCACAUCUUGACGGUACCUAAUCAGAAAGCCACGGCUAACUACGU